rnacentral:rRNA from 1 species
UACGUAGGGGGCAAGCGUUGUCCGGAUUUAUUGGGCGUAAAGCGCACGUAGGCGGUUCGUUAUGUCGGAUGUGAAAGCCCUUGGCUUAACCGAGGAAGUGCAUCCGAAACUGGCGAGCUAGAGUACGAAAGAGGAUCGCGGAAUUCCCGGUGUAGAGGUGAAAUUCGUAGAUAUCGGGAGGAACACCGGUGGCGAAGGCGGCGAUCUGGGUCGAUACUGACGCUGAGGUGCGAAAGCGUGGGGAGCAAACAGG